ensembl:lincRNA Gm26862 predicted gene, 26862
AGUGAGUGAUUCUGAACUGGGCUGCCAUAAAGAAGAAGGCAGAGACCUACCUGCCUGUUGCUUCUGUCUCCCUCCAGCUGUUGGGAGGUCAGUGUGCCUGGGCUGGCUGCUUUUGGAAAGUCCUUUCUUUAUCUCUUUCCCACUUGGCAGCUCUCCUUAGUUCUGGGACAUUUGCCACCAUGGUACUGCCAGGAAGGAAUCUGGCCUUGUCCUGUUCCAUUUCUCUUUGUUUCCAAGAGGGAGCUCCGCUUCCACCUGCUGUGUGACAUCACCCACUGUGGGAUCCCUGCAUGAGAGUUGGAAAUCACACUGUCAGAUGGUCACACCUCCAGCUACAAGAGGUUCAAGUUCUUCCUGGGUUAUAAGAUGGCAAACCAUCCACAUAGAGACCCAAGUUAACUUGUGAGUGAGCUGUCUUCAAGGAGCUUACAAGUCUUGAAUGUUCAGACAGGAGCUUAGCAUGCUGGCUUCUGAAGUGCUUCAUCCAGCAGCUGACUCAGACAGAUGUAGACACCAACAGCCAAACAUUGGAUGGAACAUGGGGACUCUUAUGGAAGAAGACUAGGAAGAAGGAUUGUGGGUUCCUGAGGGAAUAGGAAUUCCUCAGGAAGACCAACACAGUCAACUAACCCUUGGGCCUCUCUGAGACUGAGCCACCAACCAAAGAACAUACAUGGGCUGAACCUAGUCCUCCAGCACAUAUGUAUCAGGUGUGCAGCUUGGUCUUCAUGUGGUUCCUGAACAACUGGAGCAGGGGGCUAUCCCAAAAGCUAUUGCCAGUAUGUGGAAUAUGUUCUUCUAGUUGGGCUGCCUUGUCUCUCCUCAGUGGGAGUGGGUGUGCCUAACCUGGCAGAGACUUAAAGUACCAGGUGAGGUGACACCCAAGGGAGGCCAGACUCUCUCAGAGGAGAAGUGAAAGAACACAUGAUGAAGGAUUCUUCCCUAACAACAUGCAUGCAUUGGUCCACCUUACAUUAUGUAGUUGAGUUCCAUUUGUUGGGACUCCUUAGAUAUAAAAGCAUCAAAAACUUCUGGUGGUGUGCCAUGGCUUCUUGCUGCUUCUGGGCACUUGGGCUGAUUGGCAGAGUGAUGAUAGGUGACACACACAUGUGUUGUGGCAAGACAUGUGGUGAGGCAAGACCAGUGGAGGACAUGUGAUAUUUGGAGAGAGUAUAAGAAGAACUCGAAAGACAGUGACAGAAGCUGAUCUUGGGUUGCUUGCAGAUCAAAGCUUGUUGGGGUUGAGACUUGGCUGAUCUUCACUUGGCUGAGAGAUGGGCAGCCCAGAACUUUUCCUGGUGUUCCUCUUGGCUCUUGGUCCCUCUUGCUGACUCAUGCAGAGGCUGUCUCUGCAUGGUAGUGCUACUCAUGCCUCUGGCUGUCUCUGCUAGGUAGUGCUACUGCUGCUGAUUUGUGGUUUGCUAUCCCAACUCUUUGGAACUGGACUGCUGGUGUAUCCGUGAAGUGUUUGCGAGUGGAUUGAACUGCUGCUGACCUGUGAACUGAGUUGCUGAAUUCCAGACAACACAGAUGAAGUGAGGGCUGUCUCAGAUUCUGUUGCCUGCCAUUGGAUCCCCUUUGUCUAGCUAGACUCAUCGGUUGGAUGAUGAGUCCAGGGUUGGGAUGUACCCAAGGUGUGUGUGUGUGUUUCCCUUUCUCUGAGGAGAUGGGAAGGCAUAAUGUGGGGGAGGGACUUGUGAGGGUAGACCUGUGAGGGGGGGGGGGCUGCACCUGGGAUAUAAAGUGAAUAAAAAAAUAAGGGGAAUAAUGUAAAAUCAAUAACAAAUAUUCUAACUUCAAGAAGAGAGUUGUAACAACCGUUUUCCUCCUAGCCAUACUCAAAAUAAUAACUCCAAAAGAGAAGCAGUGCAAACAGCUGAAUUUAGCAUAAUUGGAUGAUAUGACUUUCACCUUAUUGGAGUGGAGUGAAAACACCAAGAUUGAUGCAAAUUUACUGCCAAGUUAACAUAAAAAUCCUCAUAGUGAAAAGGUAACAAACCGCCCCGAAGCAUCGCUUUAGUGAGAAUGCUGACAGGCUUCAUGAGCACAGUCCAUCUGAGACUAAUUUGAGACUCUCUUCUGAAGAAGAAAUCUGGAAAUCCAUUGAAAUCUUAUCCUUCCAUUAUGAAAGAAAAUGAUGGAGGUUUAAACAUGUGUAAUGCCAGUUAUAAAAUAAAAUUCAUGCUGCUAUUGAC